rnacentral:snoRNA from 1 species
ACUGGAGGACCAAGGCUGACUCUGAUGAAGCAAGACUUUGCUGAUACACUCCUCUUCUCCUAGACAAAGGGGUGGAGAGAGCAGCCCUCAUUGGAGAAAACCACAGGGCUGACUAUACUAUCCAAAAAUU